rnacentral:lncRNA from 1 species
UUUUUUUUGGUUAAAUUACAUAUUAAUUUUAAAAUUUUCUAUCUAUUGAAUCUAUUAUUUCUCAAACUUUGAUUAUACAAAAUAAUUAAACUAUUAUUCACUUGGUCUAUUUUUACUAGGAUAAUAAAAUUUUCAAAUAGAGCAUACUUAAUAAAUUCUUAAAUUAUUCAAACAAAGUUGAGCACAAACCUUCCAAAAUCUUCCACAAGCUUAAAACUUCC